GUAAGUGCUCGAUCAAGAUUUUUAGUAGUUCACUGAAGCGUGAUUUCAAAAAGAAAGCCAAAGCAAAAUUCAGCAUUGUUAAGAAUUGUGUUUCGUGAAUUUGUUUAAACACUGUUCACCUCAAUUCCCACCUCCCUGCUAUUUGGGAUCUACAAUGCUGUUGAAUUUACAAUGGUAAUUUCAAGGUCCAGAGCUGAAGACAUGAGCCUUUGGGAGUAACCCUACUCUUCCUCUGAUAUUGUUCCCUGCAUUUCCUGGAUCUCCAGCCUUCUCUGAUAUUAGGUAAAGAGAAAAAUGCAUUUGCCAGACCAAUAGCUGCAUACCAAGUGCCGGGGGAUGUGGUAAAUUGCUCAAGCAAUGAAACCAAUUCUGCUACAGGAGCUGCAAUUGGGGUCACCACCUGGUUAAGCUUAAAAUAAUUCACUAUCAUUCUCCAAGAUCCACAUGUCUUCUACACAGGCCAAAUAGCCAUGAAUAUCAUAUGUAUUGGGGAAUCAGAAGUAUCAGCCGGUUUGGAGUAUUGGGAGGACACUGGAAGAGCGGAAUUUAAGUCAGAACACGUGAAAACCAUGAAGAGCUCUCAAACAAGGAGCACUGGGAAGGUUCAUCUGUUUGAAUUGGAACUUGAGCUCGUCUCAAGAAGUCUGCUUACCACUAUAGGGAAAAGCAAACAAUGAUUGUAUUCUCUGAGAAGCCUCUGGCAGAACACGAAUUUGGAAAAAACAAGCACAUUAGUUUCAGUUUCUGUUGGUCAAGAUGAAAACAGCGGACAAUGAUGAAAUUUAUUAUUGGUGUUCCACCCAUCUCCUACCCACACUUCAAGGUCCACUUCAGGCCCCAGCCCCCAACAAAGCUGUUCAGGACCAGUGACUCUACAAUCUGAGACAAUGUGUACUUGUUGGAAGGACCUUCACAGCAUAUAGUCUAUGAAUCCAUGGGUAAGAGACUUCAUCACAGCCAUGGAAGAAUUAAUGAUGCUUAAUAACUCUUUGUGGACUCAACUGAAUAAAUGACUGACCUUAUAGCAGUUCUGCCAUCAUCUCCAUUCUUUUCCACUUUGGCUCACAAGACCCUACAGGAAUCUGAGGCCACUGACAACACCAACCUCACAUGUUCUCUGUGGGAUCUCAAGACUGCAGAUUUAACCACCUGGUCCUGAACUCAACAACAACCUGCCUACCAAUUACUUUAGUGAUUCAAACAGAAGCUCUUAGCUGCUUGUAUAUUAUGUAUGAUUUUUCUACCACUGCAUCUAGCUGUAACAAAUCCUACAUUUUUAUUCUUUCUAAAUCAAAUUGAUUCUGACUUCGUGCCUACACUAGUCAUGGAACUUCUUUCUCCCAAAGAAAUUCAAACUCUAAUAUUUUUGGAAACAGGUGGCUUAUGUGAGUAUCCAGAAACUGAGGAAAUGUUCUCUAAUCUUCAGUCAACCAUGAUGGUCUCUGAUAUGUAUGUUGUUCAAGUACACAUGAUCUAUUCACAAUAUGUAGACCUGUUACUACUCAAGCUUGGGCAUAGGGGUCUUACUGUAGUCUGGAUUCUUAACACCUGGCAUCAACCUCAAUAGACAUACUAGGAAGGUCCAGGGUGCUAUGAGGAAAUUGUUUCCUGGUAAAACCCUGCUUCGUUGUCAGUCUAUAUGACUUCUCCUUCUUUAGGACCAGCCCUUCUGUCUAACUCACUAGGUAUUUCUCUCUCUUUCUUUAUUUUGGGGCAAAUUCUGCCUGGUAGUGUGACCAUAUGUCAUUCAAAACAGAACACUUCUAAGUCUAAAAGCAAGUAUUAGUUACAACUACAUUAGGAAAGCAGGUGGUAUAAACCAGGAUAUAUGAUUUUCCUAUGUGUAGAUGUGAUAUUGUGAUAUAAUAAAAAAAAAAAUAUGUAUUUGGUCUCUGCCCCUGGUUCCUGGAGUGCAGCUCCAAAAUCCUUAGAAUCUUCCUAUUGAUAAGAUUGUCUUUUGUAUGCUAAUAAGAUGACUGGUGGCUGGUGGCCACUAGAUAGCUUCAGGAUGGGUGUGGUCACUAGAAAGACAAAGGCAUAAUUACAAAGUUGGGAUUUUCAGCCCUACUCUCCCAUCCUCCCAACAUCUAGGGACGGAGGGAAUAGGGGCUGAAGGUUGACUUUAUCACCAAUGGUCAAUAAUUUAAUGAACUUUGCCUACAUAAUAAAGCCUCCAUAAAAUCCCUAAAGGACUGGGUUCAGAGAGAUUCUAGAUUGUUGAACACAUGGAGGUUCCUAGAGGGUGUGCAGCCAAAGAAGGCAUGGAAGCUCCACGCUGCCCCUCCCAACCCCAUACCUUGCCCUAUGCAUCUCUUGGUCUGGCUCUUCAUCUGUGUCAUUUGUAAUAUCCUUCAUAAUAAAUGGAUAAAGAUAAGUAAUAUGUUUCC
rnacentral:lncRNA from 10 species